UACGUAGGGUGCGAGCGUUAAUCGGAAUUACUGGGCGUAAAGCGUGCGCAGGCGGUUCGUUAUGUCGGAUGUGAAAGCCCUUGGCUUAACUGAGGAAGUGCAUCCGAAACUGGCAGGCUAGAGUACUAAAGAGGGUCGCGGAAUUCCCGGUGUAGAGGUGAAAUUCGUAGAUAUCGGGAGGAACACCGGUGGCGAAGGCGGCGACCUGGGUAGAUACUGACGCUGAGGUGCGAAAGCGUGGGGAGCAAACAGG
rnacentral:rRNA from 1 species